GAUGAACGCUGGCGGCGUGCCUAAUACAUGCAAGUCGAGCGAACAGACGAGGAGCUUGCUCCUCUGGCGUUAGCGGCGGACAGGUGAGUAACACGUGGAUAACCUACCUAUAAGACUGGGAUAACUUCGGGAAACCGGAGCUAAUACCGGAUAAUAUAUUGAACCGCAUGGUUCAAUAGUGAAAGACGGUUUUGCUGUCACUUAUAGAUGGAUCCGCGCCGCAUUAGCUAGUUGGUAAGGUAACGGCUUACCAAGGCAACGAUGCGUAGCCGACCUGAGAGGGUGAUCGGCCACACUGGAGCUGAGACACGGUCCAGACUCCUACGGGAGGCAGCAGUAGGGAAUCUUCCGCAAUGGGCGAAAGCUUGACGGAGCAACGCCGCGUGAGUGAUGAAGGUCUUCGGAUCGUAAAACUCUGUUAUUAGGGAAGAACAAAUGUGUAAGUAACUAUGCACGUCUUGACGGUACCUAAUCAGAAAGCCACGGCUAACUACGU
rnacentral:rRNA from 1 species